UACGAAGGUCCCAAGCGUUAUCCGGAUUUAUUGGGUUUAAAGCGUGCGCAGGCGGUGAUGUAAGACAGAUGUGAAAUCCCCGGGCUCAACCUGGGAACUGCAUUUGUGACUGCAUCGCUGGAGUGCGGCAGAGGGGGAUGGAAUUCCGCGUGUAGCAGUGAAAUGCGUAGAUAUGCGGAGGAACACCGAUGGCGAAGGCAAUCCCCUGGGCCUGCACUGACGCUCAUGCACGAAAGCGUGGGGAGCAAACAGG
rnacentral:rRNA from 1 species